UACGAAGGGGGCAAGCGUUGUUCGGAAUUACUGGGCUUAAAGGGUGCGUAGGCUGCGCAGAAAGUUGGGUGUGAAAUCCCUCGGCUUAACCGAGGAACUGCGCCCAAAACUACUGUGCUCGAGGGAGACAGAGGUGAGCGGAACUUAGGGUGGAGCGGUGAAAUGCGUUGAUAUCCUAAGGAACACCCGUGGCGAAAGCGGCUCACUGGGUCUCUUCUGACGCUGAGGCACGAAAGCUAGGGUAGCGAACGGG
rnacentral:rRNA from 1 species